GCCCGGGUGGUGGAAUUGGUAGACACGCAGGACUUAAAAUCCUGUUACCCUAGGUAGUGCGGGUUCGAUUCCCGCCCCGGGCACCA
rnacentral:tRNA from 1 species